UACGUAGGGGGCAAGCGUUGUCCGGAAUCAUUGGGCGUAAAGAGCGUGUAGGCGGCCCGAUAAGUCCGCUGUGAAAGUCCAGGGCUCAACCCUGGGAUGCCGGUGGAUACUGUCGGGCUCGAGUCCGGAAGAGGAGUGUGGGAAUUCCUGGUGUAGCGGUGAAAUGACGCAGAUAUCGGGAGGAACACCUAUGGCGAAGGCAGCUCGCUGGGACGUUACUGACGCUGAGACGCGAAAGCGUGGGGAGCAAACAGG
rnacentral:rRNA from 1 species